GACGGAGGGUGCAAGCGUUAUCCGGAAUUAUUGGGCGUAAAGCGUCCGCAGGUGGCAGUUCAAGUCUGCUGUCAAAGACCGGGGCUUAACUUCGGAAAGGCAGUGGAAACUGAACAGCUAGAGUAUGGUAGGGGCAGAGGGAAUUCCUGGUGUAGCGGUGAAAUGCGUAGAGAUCAGGAAGAACAUCGGUGGCGAAGGCGCUCUGCUGGACCAUAACUGACACUGAGGGACGAAAGCUAGGGGAGCGAAUGGG
rnacentral:rRNA from 1 species